AGCUUUGUGCAGCGGCAAUAUCGUAGCAAAUGAGGUUGACCCGAGGCGCGAUGAUUGCUAAUUGAAAAAAAAAGACAUGCAUAUUC
rnacentral:snRNA from 1 species